AAUGUUUUGGAAAGGAAAAAAAAAAAAAAACAGACACCGUAGUAGCAGUUCCCAAAGUGGUGAAAUCAGUACUAAGAGCAAGUCUGUAGAUUCUAGCCUUGGGGGCCUUUCAUAGUCCAGCCCUGCGGCCAGCCUCAAUACAGAUUCCACCAAGAGCUCAGAAUAAAGCAACAAUAAUUCAAAUACGUGUGCAGAAUUUCAAAUAAAAUAUGUUGGUGCCAUUAAGACACUGAAACUCUCUGAGAGAAGAUGUCUUAAAGGGCCACUAGACCUGAUAAAUUAUAUAGAUGUUGCCCAGCAAGAUGAAAAGUUGCCUCUUGUUCCUCUGGAGGAAAAAUUUAUAAUGGGAGUUUCCAAAUAUAAUACAAGUAUCAACAUCAGAUCAGUAUGAUAUUUUGUAUAGGCAUGUUCUAUAUUUAAUCAUCUGGAUGGUGUGUUAUGAUGAUGGUCUGGGGUGGAAAAACACUUAUUGGCUCUGAAGAACACAGAUGCAAGCAGUGAUGAAUACAGCCUGUGAGUUCAUCAGUGCAACCAGCUGGAACAAACAUAAGCAAUUUGAAAAGUUCUAUCU
rnacentral:lncRNA from 1 species